GCGUCUUCGGGCGCUUCGGGUCCGUCGUCAUGGGCCCUCCCCCUCUGCCUUCAAUGGCGUUUGCUUCAACUGCCUUUCACCUCGUCACCUGGCCCGCCAUUGCCGCCUGGAUUCAAGAUGUUUCAAUUGCCUCGCGCUGGGCCAUAAAGCUGCGUCCUGUCCCAGGGACCCUGCCACCUCUCCGGUGCCUCGAGUUCAUUCCUCCACCGCUGUGCACCCUGUCUGGGCGAGGCUUGGCGGCUCAGUGGCGGCCGGUUCCUCUGUUUGGUCGCGGCUUGGUGGCACAAAAGGCCCGGGGCGCCCCAUCUCG
rnacentral:misc_RNA from 1 species